rnacentral:tRNA from 1 species
GGUCCCUUAGCUCAACUGGAUAGAGCGGCUGACUUCUAAUCAGCAGGUUGAAGGUUCGAGUCCUUCAGGGAUCGCCA